UCGUGCAGCUGCUCCCCUUGGUGUGUGCCAGGGCGGCUCAGGCUCUGUGCUGGGGUGAUGCUGGCCUUGCAGAUGCUCCUGGGAGCAGUUCAGGACUCCAGGAGGUCCUUCCAGAUGCAUUUGGAGGAUCAAACCCAGUAGUUUUCACCUGGAGCCUGUGAGCUCCCAGCAAAGCAGUUGAGCUGUGUGGUCAGAGCUGGGACUUUGGCCAGGAGCUGACUGCAGUGAGAACCUGGGCAGACCUUUGUGUCACUACGAGGUUGUGGACAGCAGCAGACAUGGAGAGGCUGGUGGAGCGGUUGGAGAAGGCUGUGGAGCGCCUGGAGAGCGUGUGCCAAGGCUCUGGCAUGUGUGGAGAUUCCUCUGCCAAAGGAGUGGCUCAGUACGUGCAGGCUUUCGAUGCCCUUCUGGCCGGGCCGGUGGCCGAGUACACCAAGAUCAGCAAAGAAGUCGGCGGGGAUGUGCAGAAGCACGUAAGGAUUGCUGC